rnacentral:rRNA from 1 species
UGGGGAAUAUUGCACAAUGGGCGCAAGCCUGAUGCAGCGACGCCGCGUGAGGGAUGACGGCCUUCGGGUUGUAAACCUCUUUCAGCUCCGACGAAGCGCAAGUGACGGUAGGGGUAGAAGAAGGACCGGCCAACUACGUGCCAGCAGCCGCGGUAAUACGUAGGGUCCGAGCGUUGUCCGGAAUUACUGGGCGUAAAGAGCUCGUAGGUGGUUUGUCGCGUUGUUCGUGAAAACUCACAGCUCAACUGUGGGCGUGCGGGCGAUACGGGCAGACUUGAGUACUGCAGGGGGAGACUGGAAUUCCUGGUGUAGCGGUGGAAUGCGCAGAUAUCAGGAGGAACACCGGUGGCGAAGGCGGGGUCUCUGGGCAGUAACUGACGCUGAGGAGCGAAAGCGUGGGGAGCGACAGGAUUAGAUACCCUGGUAGUCCACGCCGUAAACGGUGGGUACUAGGUGUGGGUUCUUCCCUGGGAUCCGUGCCGUAGCUAACGCA